rnacentral:lncRNA from 1 species
GGUUGAGCCCCUUGUGAACAUGGGUCAGAUUACCAGAGCUACCUGCCCCAUGAACCUUGCCCUUGCAGUCGUCGCUGAGCUCGACGACCUCACUGUUGGUGGGCUGAUCAAUGGUUAUGGUAUCGAGGGUAGCUCUCACCUCUAUGGGCUUUUCUCUGACACAGUUGUUGCAAUGGAAAUUGUCCUUGCAGAUGGCCGUGUUGUUAGAGCCACCAAGGAUAACGAGUACUCUGACCUUUUCUAUGGCAUUCCCUGGUCCCAGGGAACACUUGGGUUCCUUGUCUCUGCUGAGAUCAAGCUCAUUCCCAUCAAGGAAUACAUGAAGC